rnacentral:rRNA from 1 species
UACGUAGGUGGCAAGCGUUGUCCGGAAUUACUGGGCGUAAAGCGUGCGCAGGCGGUUUUGUAAGUCUGUCGUGAAAUCCCCCGGGCUUAACCUGGGAAUUGCGAUGGAGACUGCAAGGCUGGAGUCUGGCAGAGGGGGGGUAGAAUUCCACGUGUAGCAGUGAAAUGCGUAGAGAUGCGGAGGAACACCGAUGGCGAAGGCAGCCCCCUGGGUCGACACUGACGCUCAGGCAC